GAUGAACGCUGGCGGCGUGCCUAAUACAUGCAAGUCGAGCGAACAGACGAGGAGCUUGCUCCUCUGACGUUAGCGGCGGACGGGUGAGUAACACGUGGAUAACCUACCUAUAAUACUGGGAUAACUUCGGGAAACCGGAGCUAAUACCGGAUAAUAUAUUGAACCGCAUGGUUCAAUAGUGAAAGACGGUUUUGCUGUCACUUAUAGAUGGAUCCGCGCCGCAUUAGCUAGUUGGUAAGGUAACGGCUUACCAAGGCAACGAUGCGUAGCCGACCUGAGAGGGUGAUCAGCCACACUGGAACUGAGACACGGUCCAGACUCCUACGGGAGGCAGCAGUAGGGAAUCUUCCGCAAAGGGCGAAAGCCUGACGGAGCAACGCCGCGUGAGUGAUGAAGGUCUUCGGAUCGUAAAACUCUGUUAUUAGGGAAGAAAAAAUGUGGAAGUAACUAUGCACGUCUUGACGGUACCUAAUCAGAAAGCCACGGCUAACUACGUG
rnacentral:rRNA from 1 species